UACAAUUGCUUCUAAUAAAGAUGAAAGGUACAAUUUGAAAACCUGCUACAAUUGAACUAGAAAUAAACACUCAGAUGAAACAGGUUCUUCUCUUUUAUUUCAUGUAGCUUCAGGCGUACACACUUGUAUCCUGCAUAUAUUGCUUGUAAAACACACUUGCUUUAUUUGCUCUCAAGUAUGCUUUUCUUCUACUCGAGUGUGUUACUUGUAAAAGAGAACCAACACAACAAUAUAUUGAGUUAGUAGUUAGAGUUUGAUUACAACUCCACUCCUUAUCCGUAGUCCAUUUAAAUCCUAAGCCAAUACAACUCUAACUCUUAUCCUAACUUAGGAUCAAGUUCUCUUCACAUAAGAAGAAUGUCCUCCUUAUCCCAAAUUCAACCUUUUCGAUUAUGUUUAGAAGAUUUUGACACGUAAUCUUUAGUGCAUAUCUUCCUCACGUGCUUCACAUGUGCACCGGUUGAUUCAGACUGUGUAGUAAAAGAUGCAUCAGGUCCUUCCAUAAGUUCAUUUGUUAAUCUUCAAAACUCCAACUGAAACUUGGGCAAAAAAUUUUCUCCUUUUUUAUGAUGACAAACCUUGUGCUUAUUGUGAUCAGGAAACCUGUGAACUCAGCUGAAAAUCAACACUUAGAAAAUUGUAACUUAUCAUCAAGGUCAGAUUUAGGUCAUAAACAUCAGUAGUUCAGUUAAAGAAUUUUAAGCACAAUAUCUUCCCCCUUUUGGCAUCAUCGAAAAUUUGCAUUAAUACUGUGAAUCUUUGAAGUUAAUUAAUACUCAUGGCCGCUGGGGCAACUACAAGUGAACACAAUCAAGUUAAUCACAAAUCAGCUUAAAAAUAACUAUUUAGAACAAUUUCAACAAGAACAAGAAAAGCUGCAUUUAUUGAUUAAAAGGGUGUUUCUACAGUGCAGUCCACAAAAAAAAAUAUCCAACCAUGAGCAAAACACAGAAUAAGAAUAGAACAAGAACUUCCUAGACUGGAAACUGGAAACUGAAGGGUUACUAGAGUGGACUCUAAGGACAUGACAUAUAAGGUUUGGAAGUGUUGGAGGGUUGGGCUUUUAGCAGAUUUAACAUUUUCUGGAGCAUGCCUUCAUUUUUCUCCUUUGCUUUGGUGAGUUCGGCUCUCAGUUCAUUUGUUUCUCCCUCUAGAUCAGUAUUCUGGCAUUUAGCUUAGCAGUUUUAGCAUCCUUUGUCCCAACUUCUUGAUUCAAGGCUCUAACCUUGCUGUUCACAGGAGCUUGGCAGAUGAACCAGGUUCAACAGGGGCAACAUUGAGCAGAUAGUCACAGGCUUGAAGAGUCUUGCACCAAAGUGCUCCUUGCUGGAGGCCAUUUCCCACUUUUUCAAAGGAACAUUUAAGCGUUCAAGUCACUGGCUUGAAGGGUCUUGACACUAAAGUGCUCCUUAUUGGAGGCCAUUUCCCACUUUUUCAAAAGAACAUUUAAGCGUUCAAGCACAAUUGUCAGGAUAAAACCAUAGGGAAUGGCAUGAGCCUUUGAACCAUUUAUCACCCUUUCAAGAAGCUUCACCAUAAAGACAGGCCAGCUGAUUUGUUUCCCUUAAUUCGUACACUGCAUGAGCAUCAGAUCCAUAUAAUUAGUUGUAUGCCUUCUUUCCUGUCUGGACAAAAGGCACUUGUUGACAAAUUCAAAAAGCACUUUGUGCUUUGGCCUCAUUUCACUCUUCUGGACUGCCCUGGCCUCAUGCACCUCUUCAGCUGUGUUGGUGUCACAGAAAUUCCUUGUUAUUUUCAGCUCAGAAGGUAGCCCAUCCAAGCAAGGCCACCUAUGCCUGGUAUAAUCGUCAUAUCCCUCACAAGGAAUACCCAGAAUGUUUCCCAAUUUUUCAGCAUUGAAUUUCACUUUGAGACCCCUCGUUGUACUGGUCACCUGGCCAUUCUUCACCUUUCCAUUGGCCAUAAACUCCACUAGUUCCUUCCUUUCCAAUUUUCCAUCAAUCUGAAGGACCAUGUCCUUCCAGCCUUGUGCCUCCAGUGCUGUGACAAGCCUUAUCAUGCCUGGCUCCUCCAGGUCUUUCAUCAAUCUCCCCUUCAAUAUCUUUCUUUUGUCAAAGUUAGCAUACCUAUCAUGUUCAUCUUCAGACUCACUUUCGUCAUCUUCUUCUUCUAUGGCUACUUUCACUUGUUUUCCCUUAGACGCUGAUGUUGUUCUCUUGGCUAGAGAGGAUUCAACAGUAACUGGUUUUGAGGGCUUCUUUGAGGAAGUCCUAGUCUCCUUUGGUUUUGCAAGUGGAACCUGCACAGUAGUAUUU
rnacentral:lncRNA from 1 species